rnacentral:rRNA from 1 species
GAUGAGCGCUGGCGGCGUGCCUAAUACAUGCAAGUCGAGCGAACGGACGAGAAGCUUGCUUUUCUGAUGUUAGCGGCGGACGGGUGAGUAACACGUGGAUAACCUACCUAUAAGACUGGGAUAACUUCGGGAAACCGGAGCUAAUACCGGAUAAUAUUUUGAACCGCAUGGUUCAAAAGUGAAAGACGGUCUUGCUGUCACUUAUAGAUGGAUCCGCGCUGCAUUAGCUAGUUGGUAAGGUAACGGCUUACCAAGGCAACGAUGCAUAGCCGACCUGAGAGGGUGAUCGGCCACACUGGAACUGAGACACGGUCCAGACUCCUACGGGAGGCAGCAGUAGGGAAUCUUCCGCAAUGGGCGAAAGCCUGACGGAGCAACGCCGCGUGAGUGAUGAAGGUCUUCGGAUCGUAAAACUCUGUUAUUAGGGAAGAACAUAUGUGUAGGUAACUGUGCACAUCUUGACGGUACCUAAUCAGAAAGCCACGGCUAACUACGUG